UGAGCAAUCUGCCCUUCUCUUUGGAAUAAGCGUUGGAAACGACGUCUAAUGCCGAAUACGACCUCCUUUCGCAUGAUCGGAGGUGGAAAGCUCCGGCGGAGAAGGAUGAGCUCGCGGCCUAUCAGCUAGUUGGUGUGGGUAAUGGCCCACCAAGGCGACGACGGGUAGCCGGCCUGAGAGGGUGACCGGCCACACGUGGGACUGAGAUACCGGCCCAGACCUCCGUACGGGAGGCAGCG
rnacentral:rRNA from 1 species